UACGGAGGGGGCCAGCGUUGUUCGGAAUCAUUGGGCGUAAAGGGCGCGUAGGCGGCCAAUCAAGUCCGACGUGAAAUUCCCCGGCUCAACCGGGGGCCUGCGUCGGAUACUGCUUGGCUUGAGUCCCGGAGAGGGUAGUGGAAUUCCCAGUGUAGCGGUGAAAUGCGUAGAUACUGGGAGGAACACCGGUGGCGAAGGCGGGCUACCUGGACGGGGUACUGACGCUGAGGCGCGAAAGCUAGGGGAGCAAACAGG
rnacentral:rRNA from 1 species